rnacentral:rRNA from 1 species
AUGAUUUUUUUGGACCAUGAAAUUUGGUCGUACCCUAACAAUGUUCGUCAUACCUAUUUCAGCUACGCACUUUCAUUUCAUCAGAUGAAAGUAUUUUUUUUUGGUUGUUCAGAAAGCACAAAUAUUUUUAUUAUGAGGUGUAUUUUAAAUAAAAAUUUGAGAAUAUUUUUAAAAAAUUAUCAUUUUUAUGGUGAUGAACAUUUUUUUGAAAUAUUAUAUUUCAUUUGUAAUUUUUUGAACUGUUUUUUGUGCUUAUACAUCCCACAAGCAGUUAAGCAGGCAACAAUCCGAAGGCCAAAUCGGCAGAGCACUAAGAGCAGCCGUACGAACCGGCCAGUCGUCCAAUUCUCAAUUCUUUAA